rnacentral:rRNA from 1 species
GACGAACGCUGGCGGCGUGCUUAACACAUGCAAGUCGAACGGAAAGGCCCUGCUUGCAGGGUACUCGAGUGGCGAACGGGUGAGUAACACGUGGUGAUCUGCCCUGCAAUUUGGGGUUAGGCCGGGAAAACGGGGCUAAUAACGGGUAGGAGGCAUUUUUAGUGUGAUGGUUGGGAAGGUUUUUCGGUGUAGGGUGAGCUCGCGGCCUAUCAGCUUGUUGGUGGGGUAAUGGCCUACCAAGGCGGCGACGGGUAGCCGGCCUGAGAGGGUGGACGGCCACAUUGGGACUGAGAUACGGCCCAGACUCCUACGGGAGGCAGCAGUGGGGAAUAUUGCACAAUGGGCGCAAGCCUGAUGCAGCGACGCCGCGUGGGGGAUGACGGCCUUCGGGUUGUAAACUCCUUUCGCUAGGGACGAAGCUUUUUGUGACGGUACCUAGAUAAGAAGCACCGGCUAACUACGUG